UACGUAGGGUGCGAGCGUUAAUCGGAAUUACUGGGCGUAAAGCGUGCGCAGGCGGUUCGUUAUGUCCGAUGUGAAAGCCCCGAGCUUAACUUGGGAAUGGCAUUGGAAACUGGCGGGCUGGAGUGUGGCAGAGGGGGGUGGAAUUCCACGUGUAGCAGUGAAAUGCGUAGAGAUGUGGAGGAACACCGAUGGCGAAGGCAGCCCCCUGGGCCGACACUGACGCUCAGGCACGAAAGCGUGGGGAGCAAACAGG
rnacentral:rRNA from 1 species